rnacentral:rRNA from 1 species
UGUUUAUUAAAAACACAGCACUCUGCAAACACGAAAGUGGACGUAUAGGGUGUGAUGCCUGCCCGGUGCUGGAAGGUUAAUUGAUGGUGUAAUCGAAAGAGAAGCUCCUGAUCGAAGCCCCAGUAAACGGCGGCCGUAACUAUAACGGUCCUAAGGUAGCGAAAUUCCUUGUCGGGUAAGUUCCGACCUGCACGAAUGGCAUAAUGAUGGCCAGGCUGUCUCCACCCGAGACUCAGUGAAAUUGAAAUCGCCGUGAAGAUGCGGUGUACCCGCGGCUAGACGGAAAGACCCCGUGAACCUUUACUAUAGCUUGACACUGAACAUUGAAUUUUGAUGUGUAGGAUAGGUGGGAGACUUUGAAGUAGUCACGCCAGUGAUUAUGGAGUCGUCCUUGAAAUACCACCCUUUAACGUUUGAUGUUCUAACGAAGAUUACGAAACGUGGUCUCGGACAGUGUCUGGUGGGUAGUUUGACUGGGGCGGUCUCCUCCCAAAGAGUAACGGAGGAGCACGAAGGUUUGCUAAUCACGGUCGGACAUCGUGAGGUUAGUGCAAUGGUAUAAGCAAGCUUAACUGCGAGACAGACAAGUCGAGCAGGUACGAAAGUAGGUCAUAGUGAUCCGGUGGUUCUGAAUGGAAGGGCCAUCGCUCAACGGAUAAAAGGUACUCCGGGGAUAACAGGCUGAUACCGCCCAAGAGUUCAUAUCGACGGCGGUGUUUGGCACCUCGAUGUCGGCUCAUCACAUCCUGGGGCUGAAGUAGGUCCCAAGGGUAUGGCUGUUCGCCAUUUAAAGUGGUACGCGAGCUGGGUUUAGAACGUCGUGAGACAGUUCGGUCCCUAUCUGCCGUGGGCGUUGGAGAAUUGAAAGGGGCUGCUCCUAGUACGAGAGGACCGGAGUGGACGCACCGCUGGUGUUCCGGUUGUGUCGCCAGACGCAUUGCCGGGUAGCUAAGUGCGGAAGAGAUAAGUGCUGAAAGCAUCUAAGCACGAAACUUGCCAAGAGAUGAGUUCUCCC